rnacentral:tRNA from 1 species
GGGCCCUUAGCUCAGCGGUCAGAGCUGUCGGCUCAUAACCGAUUGGUCCCUGGUUCGAAUCCAGGAGGGCCCACCC